rnacentral:rRNA from 1 species
AUCAUGGCUCAGAUUGAACGCUGGCGGCAUGCCUUACACAUGCAAGUCGAACGGCAGCAUGAUCUAGCUUGCUAGAUUGAUGGCGAGUGGCGAACGGGUGAGUAAUACAUCGGAACGUGCCCUGUAGUGGGGGAUAACUAGUCGAAAGAUUAGCUAAUACCGCAUACGACCUGAGGGUGAAAGUGGGGGACCGCAAGGCCUCAUGCUAUAGGAGCGGCCGAUGUCUGAUUAGCUAGUUGGUGAGGUAAAGGCUCACCAAGGCGACGAUCAGUAGCUGGUCUGAGAGGACGAUCAGCCACACUGGGACUGAGACACGGCCCAGACUCCUACGGGAGGCAGCAGUGGGGAAUUUUGGACAAUGGGGGCAACCCUGAUCCAGCAAUGCCGCGUGUGUGAAGAAGGCCUUCGGGUUGUAAAGCACUUUUGUCCGGAAAGAAAUCGCACUUACUAAUAUUAGGUGUGGAUGACGGUACCGGAAGAAUAAGGACCGGCUAACUACGUGCCAGCAGCCGCGGUAAUACGUAGGGUCCAAGCGUUAAUCGGAAUUACUGGGCGUAAAGCGUGCGCAGGCGGUUGUGCAAGACCGAUGUGAAAUCCCCGGGCUUAACCUGGGAAUUGCAUCGGUGACUGCACGGCUAGAGUGUGUCAGAGGGGGGUAGAAUUCCACGUGUAGCAGUGAAAUGCGUAGAGAUGUGGAGGAAUACCGAUGGCGAAGNCAGCCCCNUGGGAUANCACUGACGCUCAUGCACGAAAGCGUGGGAGCAAACAGGAUUAGAUACCCUGGUAGUCCACGCCCUAAACGAUGUCAACUAGUUGUUGGGGAUUCAUUUCCUUAGUAACGUAGCUAACGCGUGAAGUUGACCGCCUGGGGAGUACGGUCGCAAGAUUAAAACUCAAAGGAAUUGACGGGGACCCGCACAAGCGGUGGAUGAUGUGGAUUAAUUCGAUGCAACGCGAAAAACCUUACCUACCCUUGACAUGCCACUAACGAAGCAGAGAUGCAUUAGGUGCUCGAAAGAGAAAGUGGACACAGGUGCUGCAUGGCUGUCGUCAGCUCGUGUCGUGAGAUGUUGGGUUAAGUCCCGCAACGAGCGCAACCCUUGUCUCUAGUUGCUACGAAAGGGCACUCUAGAGAGACUGCCGGUGACAAACCGGAGGAAGGUGGGGAUGACGUCAAGUCCUCAUGGCCCUUAUGGGUAGGGCUUCACACGUCAUACAAUGGUGCAUACAGAGGGUUGCCAAGCCGCGAGGUGGAGCUAAUCCCAGAAAAUGCAUCGUAGUCCGGAUCGUAGUCUGCAACUCGACUACGUGAAGCUGGAAUCGCUAGUAAUCGCGGAUCAGCAUGCCGCGGUGAAUACGUUCCCGGGUCUUGUACACACCGCCCGUCACACCAUGGGAGUGGGUUUUGCCAGAAGUAGUUAGCCUAACCGCAAGGGGGGCG